UAGGGAAUCUUCCACAAUGGGCGAAAGCCUGAUGGAGCAACGCCGCGUGAGUGAAGAAGGGUUUCGGCUCGUAAAACUCUGUUGUUAAAGAAGAACAUAUCUGAGAGUAACUGUUCAGGUAUUGACGGUAUUUAACCAGAAAGCCACGGCUAACUACGUACCAG
rnacentral:rRNA from 1 species